AACGUUGGCGGGCACCACCAUAACAUAUGCAAGUCUGAACGGUAAGCAGGAAGCAGCUUGUCUGCUUCGCUGACAUGGAGUGGCGGACGGUGUGAGUAAUGUCUGGGAAACUGCCUGAUGGAGGGGGAUAAUCUACUGGAAACGGUGGCUAAUACCGCAUAACGUCGAGUUGCAAGACCAAAGAGGGGGACCUUCGGGCCUCUUGCCAUCAGAUGUGCCCAGAUGGGAUUAGCUUGUUGGUGAGGUAACGGCUCACCAAGGCGACGAUCCCUAGCUGGUCUGAGAGGAUGACCAGCCACACUGGAACUGAGACACGGUCCAGACUCCUACGGGAGGCAGCAGUGGGGAAUAUUGCACAAUGGGCGCAAGCCUGAUGCAGCCAUGCCGCGUGUAUGAAGAAGGCCUUCGGGUUGUAAAGUACUUUCAGCGGGGAGGAAGGUGUUGUGGUUAAUAACCGCAGCAAUUGACGUUACCCGCAGAAGAAGCACCGGCUAACUCCGUGCCAGCAGCCGCGGUAAUACGGAGGGUGCAAUGCGUUAAUCGGAAUUACUGGGCGUA
rnacentral:rRNA from 1 species